UACGUAGGGAGCGAGCGUUGUCCGGAUUUACUGGGUGUAAAGAGUGCGUAGGCGGCAAUGCAAGUCAGGCGUGAAAGCUCGGGGCUUAACCCCGAAACUGCGCUUGAAACUGUGUUGCUUGAGUGAAGUAGAGGUAGGCGGAAUUCCCGGUGUAGCGGUGAAAUGCGUAGAGAUCGGGAGGAACACCAGUGGCGAAGGCGGCCUACUGGGCUUUAACUGACGCUGAGGCACGAAAGCAUGGGUAGCAAACAGG
rnacentral:rRNA from 1 species